UUAAUUAAAGCCAAAAAGAGGCAUUUCAUUGUUAAUGAAAUUAAUGGAUACUAUUUAAUCCUAAUUAAA
rnacentral:tRNA from 1 species